CCCUCACGGUCACCCUCAUGGCCUCACCCACUCACCCUCUCGGUCUCUCCCUCUCUCCUAGUUUCCCCAAAAACGAAACCCUAGCGCCGCCGCCCCGGUGGCCGUGGACCCCUAGAGUAGAAAAAUAGAGCAGGCGUCGGUGGCCGUGGACCUGUGGAGGAGAGCAGGCGCCGCCGCGCCAGUGUGCUGCGUCGCCGGCGAGUGAGCCAACCACUGUCCACUGGUCUGCUCUUGUUUAUUCAAUGGCCACGAAAGGAUCUCAUCCAGCCGAGCUUUCUCCCCACUAUGUACCUCAUCGGUGCACUUGAAGAAGCGUCAUUGAGCACCGUUCGGAGAUUCCCCUUCCCAGCAUCAUCGCCUGACCAAGAUUUGACACAGUUCAUCUGUCGCUCGAGCCAUAACGGGCGUGAUGUGAUGAAGAAACUGAAUUUUGUAGUGGAAAUGAGGUAUUGUGAGGUUCCGCCGGCGUCUCGGCACAAGUGAACCACGAUCUGCAUCUCAGUCGUCUCCCCAAGCACCAUCGCCUAUCAUGGAUGCCUACAGGCACCAGUUGCAGCCAGCAAAAGCAAACUUACAAGUGAGCUGGUUCCUCCCGCGGAUUCACCAGUAAUAAAUUAUCCAAUGCUUUAGACCUAGCAAAGUGCUACAAAGAAAAGGUCGUGCACAUCACCUACAGGGAGGCCUACAAAGAAGCUUUUUGUUAAUGACGUUGAUUAGAAGGAUGGAGGGGCUGACUGUGCUGCAGCCAAAGCUAGGCUUAUUAGCUCCUGCAAGAUCACUGGAAUAGAUAGUUCAGAACAAAUAAGUGACAUUUUGCGUGGCAUUGAAGGAAGAGUGAUACUGCUUUGGUCAUGUCUUCUUCCACAUGUGCAUUGAGAUCUGUGGUGAGCUAUGUAAUUGACCCAAAAGGCACUUCAAGCGGGCAGGAAAGUCUAAGGCCCUUACUAAGUACUUCCAAGGUGUUCUGGACAAAGAAAUCUUGUACAUUAAAACAGGAGGAUACAAGAAGCUGGAGUGGUUGUCUGAAGGCUUUUGAACUGUUUGAAGCGUUAGUGUAGCUUUGGUGCUUUUGUGACUGAUCAGCUCUGGAGCAGCUAGAGUGAUGUAGUUGUGGGAUUUUGAACAAUAGCUAGAGUGAUAUAAAACAUUAGUGAUGUAGUUGUGGGCUUUUGAACUGUUUCAAGCUGAAGUGAUGUCGCUGUGGUGCUUUUGUGACUGAUCAUCUCUGGAGCUUUUGUGAAUGAUCUAGCUAGCUAUCUGUAAAUGAUCUAGUUGUGAAUGAUAUUAUAAUUGUGAUGCUUUUGUGAAUA